UAGGGAAUCUUCCGCAAUGGACGAAAGUCUGACGGAGCAACGCCGCGUGAGUGAUGAAGGUUUUCGGAUCGUAAAGCUCUGUUGUUAGGGAAGAACAAGUACCGUUCGAAUAGGGCGGUACCUUGACGGUACCUAACCAGAAAGCCACGGCUAACUACGUGCCAGCAGCCGCGGUAAUACGUAGGUGGCAAGCGUUGUCCGGAAUUAUUGGGCGUAAAGGGCUCGCAGGCGGUUUCUUAAGUCUGAUGUGAAAGCCCCCGGCUCAACCGGGGAGGGUCAUUGGAAACUGGGGAACUUGAGUGCAGAAGAGGAGAGUGGAAUUCCACGUGUAGCGGUGAAAUGCGUAGAGAUGUGGAGGAACACCAGUGGCGAAGGCGACUCUCUGGUCUGUAACUGACGCUGAGGAGCGAAAGCGUGGGGAGCGAACAGGAUUAGAUACCCUGGUAGUCCACGCCGUAAACGAUGAGUGCUAAGUGUUAGGGGGUUUCCGCCCCUUAGUGCUGCAGCUAACGCAUUAAGCACUCCGCCUGGGGAGUACGGUCGCAAGACUGAAACUCAAAGGAAUGGACG
rnacentral:rRNA from 1 species